rnacentral:rRNA from 1 species
UACGUAGGGGGCUAGCGUUGUCCGGAAUCAUUGGGCGUAAAGCGCGUGUAGGCGGUCCGGUAAGUCCGCUGUGAAAGUCGGGGGCUCAACCCUCGAAUGCCGGUGGAUACUGUCGGGCUAGAGUGCGGAAGAGGCGAGUGGAAUUCCUGGUGUAGCGGUGGAAUGCGCAGAUAUCAGGAGGAACACCUAUAGCGAAGGCAGCUUGCUGGGACGGUACUGACGCUGAGACGCGAAAGCGUGGGGAGCGAACAGG